GAUGAACGCUGGCGGCGUGCCUAAUACAUGCAAGUCGAGCGAACAGAUGAGGAGCUUGCUCCUCUGACGUUAGCGGCGGACGGGUGAGUAACACGUGGAUAACCUACCUAUAAGACUGGGAUAACUUCGGGAAACCGGAGCUAAUACCGGAUAAUAUAUUGAACCGCAUGGUUCAAUAGUGAAAGACGGUUUUGCUGUCACUUAUAGAUGGAUCCGCGCCGCAUUAGCUAGUUGGUAAGGUAACGGCUUACCAAGGCAACGAUGCGUAGCCGACCUGAGAGGGUGAUCGGCCACACGGGAACUGAGACACGGUCCAGACUCCUACGGGAGGCAGCAGUAGGGAAUCUUCCGCAAUGGGCGAAAGCCUGACGGAGCAACGCCGCGUGAGUGAUGAAGGUCUUCAGAUCGUAAAACUCUGUUAUUAGGGAAGAACAAAUGUGUAAGUAACUAUGCACGUCUUGACGGUACCUAAUCAGAAAGCCACGGCUAACUACGUG
rnacentral:rRNA from 1 species